GCUCUUUAAUAAAUAUCAAAACUGAUAUAUAUUAAUAUUGUCUCUAAGACUAUAGUAAUAAACAUUUUAUAAAAUAAGCUUUACGGACCCGGGGGCGGUACCCGGCACCUCCACCAAACUAUUUUGGGGGUGAAAUAGGAUCGACGUGUGUAAUAAAAAUAAAAUUUUUACUCGGCAUUGUACCACCGAUAUCGGGCUAAUUUAUAGUUGCAAAUGACAACUACGCUCCGGUUGCUGCAGCUGCUUAGUAGCUAAAGUAACCGAAACUAAAGUCCUGUCCUCUAGCAAGGACUGGCGGGGUUGAACUACCUGGCAACAGAAACUCAAGG
rnacentral:tmRNA from 2 species